rnacentral:rRNA from 1 species
GAAAGUAAGCAAGGGCAGACGGUGGAUGCCUUGGCUCUCGGAGGCGACGAAGGACGUGAUAAGCUGCGAAAAGCCCGGGGGAGGCGCAAAUAGCCCUUGAUCCCGGGAUAUCCGAAUGGGGCAACCCGGCAGGUUGAAGGCCUGUCAUCCCGAAAGGGAGGCGAACGUGGGGAACUGAAACAUCUAAGUACCCAUAGGAGGAGAAAAUAAACAAUGAUUCCGUAAGUAGUGGCGAGCGAACACGGAAGAGCCCAAACCCAUGUCGUCUAGGCGACACGGGGGUUGUAGGACCACGACGUGGCAAGAUAGAGUCAAGUGGAACGCCUUGGAAAGGGCGACCGUAGAGGGUGAUAGUCCCGUACACGACUGACGAUUGAAGCCUAGUGGUAUCCUGAGUAGCGCGGGGCACGAGAAAUCUUGCGUGAAUUAGCGGGGCCCAUCCCGUAAGGCUAAAUACUCCCGAGAGACCGAUAGCGAACCAGUACCGUGAGGGAAAGGUGAAAAGAACCCCGAGCAGGGGAGUGAAAUAGACCCUGAACCCGUCUGCCUACAAGCGGUCGGAGCGUCGUAAUGACGUGACGGCGUGCCUUUUGCAUAAUGAACCUACGAGUUACCUUCCCCGGCAAGGUUAAGUACCUAAGGUACGGAGCCGAAGCGAAAGCGAGUCUGAACAGGGCGCCAAGUCGGGGGGGGUAGACGCGAAACCGAGUGAUCUACCCUUGGCCAGGUUGAAGGUUGGGUAACACCAACUGGAGGACCGGAUGGGUAAGCGUUGAAAAGCUUUCCAAUGAGCUGAGGGUAGGGGUGAAAGGCUAAUCAAACUCGGAGAUAGCUCGUACUCCCCGAAAUGCAUUUAGGUGCAGCCUCUUUAUAGUAUAUCGUGAGGUAGAGCGACUGAUUGGAUGCGAGGGCUUCACCGCCUAUCAAGUCCAGAUAAACUCCGAAUGCGCGAUAUAUAUUUACAGGGAGUGAGGGCGCGGGUGCUAAGGUCCGUGUCCGAGAGGAGAAGAAUCCAGACCACCGGCUAAGGCCCCCAAAUGAUCGUUAAGUUGAACUAACGAGGUCGGAUCGCAGAGACAGCUAGGAUGUUGGCUUGGAAGCAGCCAUUCAUUUAAAGAGUGCGUAACAGCUCACUAGUCGAGCGAUCUGGCGUGGAUAAUAAUCGGGCAUAAACGAUCUGCCGAAGCCGUGGAUGUCGCAAGACAUGGUAGGGGAGCAUUCCAUGCGGCGUCGAAGAUGAGGGAUGACCCUUGUUGGAGCGCAUGGAAAAGCAAAUGUAGGUAUGAGUAACGAUAAGGGGGGCGAGAAACCCCCCCGCCGAAAGACCAAGGUUUCCUGAUCAACGCUAAUCGGAUCAGGGUGAGUCGGGACCUAAGGCAAAGCCGAACGGCGCCGCCGAUGGAAGAAUGGGUUAAUAUUCCCAUACUGCCUCAUGGAGUGACGUGGAGACGGAGAAGUGACAGUCCUGCCGGCUGACGGAAUAGCCGGUUGAAGGGUGUAGAUAUUGAUUCCCGUAGGCAAAUCCGCGGGGAGAGUCGAACCUGAGAGUAUACGGAGCGCUUGCGCAACGUAAUAUGGACGUAACCAUGCUCCCGAGAAAAUCCGCUAAACUUAUCCAUGCGGCACCCGUACCGUAAACGGACACACGUGGUCGGGUUGAGAAUACUGAGGCGCUCGAGUGAUUCACGGUUAAGGAACUAGGCAAAUUGACCCUGUAACUUCGGGAUAAAGGGUCCUCGUCGUAAGGCGAGGCGCAGAGAAUAGGUCCAGGCAACUGUUUAACAAAAACACAUGGCUGUGCUAAAUGGAAACAUGACGUAUACAGCCUGACACCUGCCCGGUGCCGGAAGGUUAAGAGGAGAUGUCAUCCGCGAGGAGAAGCGUUGAAUUGAAGCCCCGGUAAACGGCGGCCGUAACUAUAACGGUCCUAAGGUAGCGAAAUUCCUUGUCGG